GACGAAACGUGCAAUCGUUGUUCGGAAUCACUGGGCUUAAAGGGCGCGUAGGCGGCUUAUCAAGUCGGGGGUGAAAUACUUCAGCUUAACCGGAAAAGUGCCUUGGAUACUGCUUGCCUAGAGGGAGGUAGGGGCAGCGGGAACUUCCAGUGGAGCGGUGAAAUGCGUUGAUAUUGGAAGGAACUCCGGUGGCGAAAGCGCGCUGCUGGAUCUCUUCUGACGCUGAGGCGCGAAAGCUAGGGGAGCAAACGGG
rnacentral:rRNA from 1 species